CCGAAUAGGGGAGCCGAAGGGAAACCGAGUCUUAACUGGGCGUUAAGUUGCAGGGUAUAGACCCGAAACCCGGUGAUCUAGCCAUGGGCAGGUUGAAGGUUGGGUAACACUAACUGGAGGACCGAACCGACUAAUGUUGAAAAAUUAGCGGAUGACUUGUGGCUGGGGGUGAAAGGCCAAUCAAACCGGGAGAUAGCUGGUUCUCCCCGAAAGCUAUUUAGGUAGCGCCUCGUGAAUUCAUCUCCGGGGGUAGAGCACUGUUUCGGCAAGGGGGUCAUCCCGACUUACCAACCCGAUGCAAACUGCGAAUACCGGAGAAUGUUAUCACGGGAGACACACGGCGGGUGCUAACGUCCGUCGUGAAGAGGGAAACAACCCAGACCGCCAGCUAAGGUCCCAAAGUCAUGGUUAAGUGGGAAACGAUGUGGGAAGGCCCAGACAGCCAGGAUGUUGGCUUAGAAGCAGCCAUCAUUUAAAGAAAGCGUAAUAGCUCACUGGUCGAGUCGGCCUGCGCGGAAGAUGUAACGGGGCUAAACCAUGCACCGAAGCUGCGGCAGCGACGCUGAUGCGUUGUUGGGUAGGGGAGCGUUCUGUAAGCCUGUGAAGGUGUGCUGUGAGGCAUGCUGGAGGUAUCAGAAGUGCGAAUGCUGACAUAAGUAACGAUAAAGCGGGUGAAAAGCCCGCUCGCCGGAAGACCAAGGGUUCCUGUCCAACGUUAAUCGGGGCAGGGUGAGUCGACCCCUAAGGCGAGGCCGAAAGGCGUAGUCGAUGGGAAACAGGUUAAUAUUCCUGUACUUGGUGUUACUGCGAAGGGGGGACGGAGAAGGCUAUGUUGGCCGGGCGACGGUUGUCCCGGUUUAAGCGUGUAGGCUGGUUUUCCAGGCAAAUCCGGAAAACUAAGGCUGAGGCGUGAUGACGAGGCACUACGGUGCUGAAGCAACAAAUGCCCUGCUUCCAGGAAAAGCCUCUAAGCAUCAGGUAACAUCAAAUCGUACCCCAAACCGACACAGGUGGUCAGGUAGAGAAUACCAAGGCGCUUGAGAGAACUCGGGUGAAGGAACUAGGCAAAAUGGUGCCGUAACUUCGGGAGAAGGCACGCUGAUAUGUAGGUGAAGUCCCUCGCGGAUGGAGCUGAAAUCAGUCGAAGAUACCAGCUGGCUGCAACUGUUUAUUAAAAACACAGCACUGUGCAAACACGAAAGUGGACGUAUACGGUGUGACGCCUGCCCGGUGCCGGAAGGUUAAUUGAUGGGGUCAGCGCAAGCGAAGCUCUUGAUCGAAGCCCCGGUAAACGGCGGCCGUAACUAUAACGGUCCUAAGGUAGCGAAAUUCCUUGUCGGGUAAGUUCCGACCUGCACGAAUGGCGUAAUGAUGGCCAGGCUGUCUCCACCCGAGACUCAGUGAAAUUGAACUCGCUGUGAAGAUGCAGUGUACCCGCGGCAAGACGGAAAGACCCCGUGAACCUUUACUAUAGCUUGACACUGAACAUUGAGCCUUGAUGUGUAGGAUAGGUGGGAGGCUUUGAAGUGUGGACGCCAGUCUGCAUGGAGCCGACCUUGAAAUACCACCCUUUAAUGUUUGAUGUUCUAACGUUGACCCGUAAUCCGGGUUGCGGACAGUGUCUGGUGGGUAGUUUGACUGGGGCGGUCUCCUCCUAAAGAGUAACGGAGGAGCACGAAGGUUGGCUAAUCCUGGUCGGACAUCAGGAGGUUAGUGCAAUGGCAUAAGCCAGCUUGACUGCGAGCGUGACGGCGCGAGCAGGUGCGAAAGCAGGUCAUAGUGAUCCGGUGGUUCUGAAUGGAAGGGCCAUCGCUCAACGGAUAAAAGGUACUCCGGGGAUAACAGGCUGAUACCGCCCAAGAGUUCAUAUCGACGGCGGUGUUUGGCACCUCGAUGUCGGCUCAUCACAUCCUGGGGCUGAAGUAGGUCCCAAGGGUAUGGCUGUUCGCCAUUUAAAGUGGUACGCGAGCUGGGUUUAGAACGUCGUGAGACAGUUCGGUCCCUAUCUGCCGUGGGCGCUGGAGAACUGAGGGGGGCUGCUCCUAGUACGAGAGGACCGGAGUGGACGCAUCACUGGUGUUCGGGUUGUCAUGCCAAUGGCACUGCCCGGUAGCUAAAUGCGGAAGAGAUAAGUGCUGAAAGCAUCUAAGCACGAAACUUGCCCCGAGAUGAGUUCUCCCUGACUCCUUGAGAGUCCUGAAGGAACGUUGAAG
rnacentral:rRNA from 1 species